UACUAAACAGCUAGCCUCC
rnacentral:rRNA from 1 species